rnacentral:rRNA from 1 species
CAUAUGGGGAGUAGGUUAACAAGAAUGAAACUCAAUGGAAUUGAUGGGGACCCGCACAAGCGGUGGAGCAUCUGGUAUUAUUCGAAGCAAUGCGAAGAACCUUACCUGGUCGUGACAUGCCUCUUAGCGAUCUGUAAUUGUAGCUUUCGAUCGGGACAGAGGAGACAGGUGGCGCUUGGUCGUUGUCAGUUCUUGUAGAGAGAAGUUGGGUUAUGUGCAGCAACGAGCGCAACCCCUAUCUUUAGUAGCUCCAGCAGUUGCGGAUGGGCACUGAUAGAGAGCCUACCAGGGAUAACCUGGAGGAAGGUGGGGAUGUACUGUCAAAUCAUCAUGGCCCCUCAUGACCAGGGCUACACACGUGAUACAAUGGUGUAAACAAAGGGAAGUGCAGCCCGCGAGGGGGAGCAAAUCGCAAAAAUAAGUAGUCAGUCAGAAUCGCAGUCUGCACAUCGAUCACACGAAGCUGGAAUCGAUAGUAAUCGAGAAUCAGAAUGCCGCGGUGAAUACGUUCCCGGGUCCAGUACACACCGCCCGUCACCCCAUGGGAGUCAGUAACCCCGGAAGUCAGUGACCCAACUGCAAGGAGGGAGC